GGUGUGGCUCAGCUUGGCUAGAGCGCCUGAUUUGGGAUCAGGAGGUCGCAAGUUCGAAUCUUGUCACC
rnacentral:tRNA from 1 species